rnacentral:rRNA from 1 species
CCCUUAGAUGUUCUGGGCCGCACGCGCGCUACACUGAUGCAUGCAACGAGUUCUAUCCUUGGCCGGAAGGCCUGGGUAAUCUGUGAACGUGCAUCGUGAUAGGGAUAGAUUAUUGCAAUUAUUAAUCUUGAACGAGGAAUUCCUAGUAAACGCAAGUCAUCAGCUUGCGUUGAUUACGUCCCUGCCCUUUGUACACACCGCCCGUCGCACCUACCGAUCGAAGGUAAUGAUGAGCCCUCAGGAUUGUGGCCUCGUCGCGUCAGCGUCUUGGCUGCGAGAAUCUGUGCAAAUCCCUACCUUUAGAGGAAGGUGAAGUCGUAACA